GAGAGGUGGCAGAGAGGUCGAAUGCGCCGCACUCGAAAUGCGGUGUACGGGCAACCGUACCGUGGGUUCGAAUCCCACCCUCUCCGC
rnacentral:tRNA from 1 species